rnacentral:rRNA from 1 species
CCUCCGGGAGGCUGCAGUGGGGAAUAUUGCACAAUGGGCGCAAGCCUGAUGCAGCCAUGCCGCGUGUAUGAAGAAGGCCUUCGGGUUGUAAAGUACUUUCAGUCGUGAGGAAGGUGUUAAGGUUAAUAACCUUAGCAAUUGACGUUAGCGACAGAAGAAGCACCGGCUAACUCCGUGCCAGCAGCCGCGGUAAUACGGAGGGUGCGAGCGUUAAUCGGAAUUACUGGGCGUAAAGGGCACGCAGGCGGUUAUUUAAGUGGAGUUGAAAAUCCCCGGGUUAACCCUGGGAAUGGCUUUAAGAAUUGGUUGGCAGGGGUCUUGUGGGGGGGGUUGAAAUUCAUGGUGAGGCGGGGAAUGGGGAGAGGAGGGGGGGAAUACCGGUUGGGAAGGGCGCCCCCUGGACAAAGACUGACGCUCAUGUGCGAAAGCGUGGGGAGCAAACAGGAUUAGAUACCCCAGUAGUC